rnacentral:misc_RNA from 1 species
AGUGACAAUGUUCUGCCGAGAG